AAAAAAAUGAAAUCUGGGUGUUGUUCGAUAAAAAUAAAUAGAGCAUUUUGAAACAAAUAAAAUUAAUCAGUUUAAGGGAUGUACACAAUUAUUUUAAAUCCGUCUGAACUAAAUCCAUACAACCUUAAAAGAGCUCAAUUCAUUUGUGUCGAAACAACAAAAAAUAAUGAUUCGAGUCAAACUACUACUUUUGCGCAUGCGCUGAUGACAGGAAAUCCACGUGACCUCGUCAGUUAUCGCGGGCGCCAUUACGUGGUGGAGUCCAGUCUAUGGUGGAAUGCUGUAGAAUUGGUUUUUACAAGAGCUCAUUAAAUGGUAUCCUAUACUUGGGUUAUAGUCUACUUUUUCACAUGGUUUACAAGAGCAAUAAACAGCAUCCCAUGCUUGGGUUUUAGUAAACUUUUUCAUGUGAACAACAGCGUAGACAUGGAAAGAGAAUGCAUCCUCAAAGCACUGUGUGUAUACUUAAAGGAGGACCAUCUACAGCUGUUCAAGGAGUACAAUAAAACGUGCAAAUACUGAGUUCUCUUUCAAGUCUUGUGCUUCAGAGGCCAAAUUCGUACAAAAAUUAUAUCAACAUGACCGUCUUGGAUUGCGACUGGAUGAAUGCUAAAGAAGCCAUAGAGCAGAUGGUAAUGGGGAUCUACAUCGUCCAAUUCAUAGACACCAACCAGGGGAUAAACCUGUGGACGUUGGUAUCCUGAUUGAAGGGACCGAGGUUCUCUGCUCUUUGAAGAACGUGUAGCAGUGGCCAUGCUGUUUGGACUUACUUACGCCUUGAACCUCAGCUACCCACAAGAACUCAAGGCUACAUUUGAGGACAUCCAGAAAGUGUUCUUUAUCUUGGAUGGACAAAAACUUUCACUAAAGGUACCAGCCCUUAAGAACAAGAUGUUGGAGUAAGUUACCUUAUGUGUGUAUUCUCAAAAGACU